rnacentral:rRNA from 1 species
GAUGAACGCUGGCGGCGUACCUAACGCAUGCAAGUCGAACGGGGGUGGCGGAGCAAUCUGACACUCUAGUGGCAAACGGGUGAGUAACACGUGGGUAAUCUACCCCGGAGUGGGGAAUAACGGCUCGAAAGGGUCGCUAAUACCGCAUGGGGUCACUGUGGCGCGAGCUGCAAGGACCAAAGCCUUCGGGCGCUCUGGGCGGAGCCUGCGGCCGAUCAGGUAGUUGGUGAGGUAACGGCUCACCAAGCCGACGACCGGUAGCUGAUCUGAGAGGAUGACCAGCCACACUGGCACUGAGACACGGGCCAGACUCCUACGGGAGGCAGCAGCGAGGAAUUUUGGACAAUGGGGGCAACCCUGAUCCAGCCAUGCCGCGUGAGCGAAGAAGGCCUUCGGGUUGUAAAGCUCUUUCGGCCGGGAAGAAAUCGCACAGGCUAAUACCCUGUGUGGAUGACGGUACCGGCAUAAGAAGCACCGGCUAACUAC